GACGAACGCUGGCGGCGCGCUUAACACAUGCAAGUCGAACGGACAGGCCUGCUUUUCCUUGUGGUUUGCGGGUACUCGAGUGGCGAACGGGUGAGUAACACGUGAGUGAUCUGCCCCCAACUUGGGUAUAAGCCCGGGAAACUGGGUCUAAUUCCCGAUAGGACCGCAGGGUGGUGUCUGUGGUGGCAAACGUUUUUCUAGUGGUUGGGGAUGAGCUCGCGGCCUAUCAGCUUGUUGGUGGGGUAAUGGCCUACCAAGGCGGGGACGGGAAGCCGGCCUGAGAGGGUGGACGGUGACACUGGGACUGGGAUACGGCCCAGACGCGAACGAGAGGCAGGAGAGGGGAAUAAAGCACAAUGGGCGGAAGCCUGAUGCAGCGAGGCCGCGAUGAGGAUGACGGGCUUGGGGUUGUAAGCUCCUUGCGACCGAGAGGAGGCCACGUGGUUGGAAGGGUGUUGACGGUAGUGGAAGAAGAAGCACCGGCUAACUACGUG
rnacentral:rRNA from 1 species